AACGAACGCUGGCGGCAGACUUAACACAUGCAAGUCGAGCACCCCGCAAGGGGAGCGGCAGACGGGUGAGUAACGCGUGGGAAUCUACCCAUCUCUACGGAAUAACGCAUGGAAACGUGUGCUAAUACCGUAUACGUCCUUCGGGAGAAAGAUUUAUCGGAGAUGGAUGAGCCCGCGUUGGAUUAGCUAGUUGGUGGGGUAAAGGCCUACCAAGGCGACGAUCCAUAGCUGGUCUGAGAGGAUGAUCAGCCACACUGGGACUGAGACACGGCCCAGACUCCUACGGGAGGCAGCAGUGGGGAAUAUUGGACAAUGGGCGCAAGCCUGAUCCAGCCAUGCCGCGUGAGUGAUGAAGGCCCUAGGGUUGUAAAGCCCUUUCACCGGUGAAGAUAAUGACGGUAACCGGAGAAGAAGCCCCGGCUAACUUCGUGCCAGCCGCCGCGGUAAUAC
rnacentral:rRNA from 1 species